rnacentral:rRNA from 1 species
CGCAAGCCUGACGGAGCAAUACCGCGUGGGGGAGGAAGGUCUGUGGAUUGUAAACCCCUUUUCUCAGGGAAGAAGCUCUGACGGUACCUGAGGAAUCAGCAUCGGCUAACUCCGUGCCAGCAGCCGCGGUAAUACGGAGGAUGCAAGCGUUAUCCGGAAUUAUUGGGCGUAAAGCGUCCGCAGGCGGCUAGAUAAGUCUGCUUUUAAAGAGUGGGGCUCAACCCCAUAGAGGGAGUGGAAACUGUUUAGCUAGAGUAUGGUAGGGGCAGAGGGAAUUCCCAGUGUAGCGGUGAAAUGCGUAGAUAUUGGGAAGAACACCAGUGGCGAAGGCGCUCUGCUGGACCGAGACUGACGCUGAGGGACGAAAGCUAGGGGAGCG